AGCAGCCGCGGUAAUUCCAGCUCCAAUAGCGUAUAUUAAAGUUGUUGCAGUUAAAAAGCUCGUAGUUGAAUUUCGGGAUUAAUAUGUUGGUCGUGCCUUGGUACGUACUGGCAUUAUUGAUUCCUACCUUCUGAAGAACCUCGAUGUCAUUAAUUUGGUGUCUUGGGAAAUCGGGACCGUUACUUUGAAAAAAUUAGAGUGUUUAAAGCAGGCUCGCGCUUGAAUACAUUAGCAUGGAAUAAUGAAAUAGGACGUUUGAUUCUAUUUUGUUGGUUUCUAGGAUCGACGUAAUGAUUAAUAGGGAUAGUUGGGGGCAUUAGUAUUCAAUUGUCAGAGGUGAAAUUCUUGGAUUUAUUGAAGACUGACUACUGCGAAAGCAUUUGCCAAGGAUGUUUUCAUUAAUCAAGAACGAAAGUUAGGGGAUCGAAGACGAUCAGAUACCGUCGUAGUCUUAACCAUAAACUAUGCCGACUAGGGAUCGGAUGAUGUUAAUUUUUAAUGACUCAUUCGGCGCCUUACG
rnacentral:misc_RNA from 1 species